GACGAACGCUGGCGGCGUGCUUAACACAUGCAAGUCGAACGGAAAGGCCCUGCUUUUGUGGGGUGCUCGAGUGGCGAACGGGUGAGUAACACGUGAGUAACCUGCCCUUGACUUUGGGAUAACUUCAGGAAACUGGGGCUAAUACCGGAUAGGAUCUCCUGCUGCAUGGUGGGGGUUGGAAAGUUUCGGCGGUUGGGGAUGGACUCGCGGCUUAUCAGCUUGUUGGUGGGGUAGUGGCUUACCAAGGCUUUGACGGGUAGCCGGCCUGAGAGGGUGACCGGCCACAUUGGGACUGAGAUACGGCCCAGACGCAUACGGGAGGCAGCAGUGGGGAAUAUUGCACAAUGGGCGGAAGCCUGAUGCAGCAACGCCGCGUGCGGGAUGACGGCCUUCGGGUUGUAAACCGCUUUCGCCUGUGACGAAGCGUGAGUGACGGUAAUGGGUAAAGAAGCACCGGCUAACUACGU
rnacentral:rRNA from 1 species